CAGUAGCCGCGGGAAUACAGAGGAUGCAAGCGUUAUCCGGAAUGAUUGGGCGUAAAGCGUCUGUAGGUGGCUUUUCAAGUCCGCCGUCAAAUCCCAGGGCUCAACCCUGGACAGGCGGUGGAAACUACCAAACUGGAGUACGGUAGGGGCAGAGGGAAUUUCCGGUGGAGCGGUGAAAUGCGUUGAGAUCGGAAAGAACACCAACGACGAAAGCACUCUGCUGGGCCGAUGCUGACACUGAGAGACGAAAGCUAGGGGAGCAAAUGGGAUUAGAUACCCCUGUAGUCCCUGUCUCUUAUAC
rnacentral:rRNA from 1 species